UUUAUUGUAUGAGUAAAGGGCAGUAGAACUGUACUUAGCCUGUGCUGAUUGAGGGCAUCAAGAGAGAGGGUGGGGACCUGUCCCGCUCCACUGUUUAAAGACAGAGCUGAUUAGGCUCCAUAGAUAGUCUUUUAUUCUGUUAAGUGACCACUGCAGCUGAAAUCACUGAUAAUCAGGUCUAAAAGUGCUUAGUCGUGCUGUGGGGUCAUGUUUCUGUGGAAGAGAUGUCCCAGACUGCACUAGCAGCGAGGUCCCCCCCUGAGAGCUCAGCUGAAAUCACUGAGAGCUGGGUGGAACCUCAAGAGACCAACUCGCAGAGGUCACAGUGGCAGGUGGCAGCAGAAGAUGACUGCGCAGGGCCAUUGGCAACAGAGUGGUGCAGUGAACGGUGGCACAACAAACAGCAGUGGCCAGAGGAACAGUGAGCAGCUGGAGGAAUGAGCAAGGUGCCUUCUUGCCCCCCACCUGGGAGGUGUCUGUACUCACGUGAAAGCACCUCUGAACUUUGAGUCUCUGCUGACCAAGGACAACACCGGUCAAAGUGAAAAUGAAAAGACAAAAAACAAUAAAAUAUUUUUUCCACUCAAAGGCUUCAAAAACUAGCUAAGGUGAAGAACCCAUCAAGAACCAAGAAUAUAUCAAUAUGUCAUCUGAAGGUUCAAGUGGUAUAUCUAUUUCCGACCAGCCCGAAGCACAAAUAUAGCUACCUACUGAAGAAACAGUGUCUCCAAAACCUAAAGGCAGUUCCCGAUGUUUGUCGGUCAAAGUGUUCCCAUUUAUUAAAGUUACAAAAGGUGGCUACUGGUGCACCUCUUGCAAAAAAGCUUAUGAAGAAGGAAAACUUCCCAAUGCUAUAAUUGGUAAAAGUGGAGGAGCUUGGUUUGUCAAACCGACCAGCAAAGCCAAUGCUGACAAACUACAUGAAAAGGCUGCAAAACACCAGGCCUCUGGAGUGCAUCAAUAUGCAGAAAGCCUUAUAAGCCCACUUUCAAAGCCAAUUUUAGAAGUACUUAAUGAGGCUGUUAAGAAUGCUGGAGACACAACACAGUUCAUGCGAACAAACAUGGCCGUGGCAUCCUACUUUCUAUUUAAGCAAGAGAUACCACACACUACAAACUGGAGGCCAGUGUUAAGUGCAUUGUCCCUUGUUCAUCCUGAAGUUGAACACUGGUUCCGAACAAGACCAGCAAAUGCUCACUAUCUUUCUGCAAGAAACUCAACUGACUGGCUAGAAGCAUGCAGUGCAACAGUGAAAGACUCAAGAGUUGAAAAAGUGAAGAACUCUCUCACCACGUUCAAAAAAUUUGCAUACAUGGCUGAUGAAUGCACUGAUGCAAAUGGGCAUCAAGUAUUAAGUCAUUGUGUAUGUUAUCUUGAUGUCAGGGGUAGGCCAGUAGAUGCAUUUCUAGAUGUUCAAGUUAUAGAAGACACAUCGGCUGCAUCUGUGACAACCCACAUCGUAGAAGAGUUAAAUGCUUGUCAGUUGGACCCCAAACAGAUGGCUGCUUGUGCAUUUGAUGGAGCUGCAAACUUCUCUGGAAGACAUGGUGGAGUACAUGCUUUGCUCAGAGAAAAGUGUAACCCUAAUCUCUCCUAUACGCACUGCAGAGGCCAUCUACUCCAACUAGCGCUAGUACAAGCUGCAGAAUCUUCAAAAGACAUUUAAAAAGCUAUAAAUUUAAUGUCUUCAUUAUAUUCUUUUUUCAACAA